rnacentral:rRNA from 1 species
AUAGGGGAGCCGCAGGGAAACCGAGUCUUAACCGGGCGUUAAGUUGCAGGGUAUAGACCCGAAACCCGGUGAUCUAGCCAUGGGCAGGUUGAAGGUUGGGUAACACUAACUGGAGGACCGAACCGACUAAUGUUGAAAAAUUAGCGGAUGACCUGUGGCUGGGGGUGAAAGGCCAAUCAAACCGGGAGAUAGCUGGUUCUCCCCGAAAGCUAUUUAGGUAGCGCCUCGUGAACUCAUCUUCGGGGGUAGAGCACUGUUUCGGCUAGGGGGUCAUCCCGACUUACCAACCCGAUGCAAACUGCGAAUACCGGAGAAUGUUAUCACGGGAGACACACGGCGGGUGCUAACGUCCGUCGUGAAGAGGGAAACAACCCAGACCGCCAGCUAAGGUCCCAAAGUCAUGGUUAAGUGGGAAACGAUGUGGGAAGGCCCAGACAGCCAGGAUGUUGGCUUAGAAGCAGCCAUCAUUUAAAGAAAGCGUAAUAGCUCACUGGUCGAGUCGGCCUGCGCGGAAGAUGUAACGGGGCUAAACCAUGCACCGAAGCUGCGGCAGCGACGCUUAUGCGUUGUUGGGUAGGGGAGCGUUCUGUAAGCCGUUGAAGGUGGCCUGUGAGGGUUGCUGGAGGUAUCAGAAGUGCGAAUGCUGACAUAAGUAACGAUAAAGCGGGUGAAAAGCCCGCUCGCCGGAAGACCAAGGGUUCCUGUCCAACGUUAAUCGGGGCAGGGUGAGUCGACCCCUAAGGCGAGGCCGAAAGGCGUAGUCGAUGGGAAACAGGUUAAUAUUCCUGUACUCGGUGUUACUGCGAAGGGGGGACGGAGAAGGCUAUGUUGGCCGGGCGACGGUUGUCCCGGUUUAAGCAUGUAGGCGGGUGUUCCAGGUAAAUCCGGAACGCUGUUAACGCUGAGGUGUGAUGACGAGGCACUACGGUGCUGAAGCAACAAAUGCCCUGCUUCCAGGAAAAGCCUCUAAGCAUCAGGUAACAUCAAAUCGUACCCCAAACCGACACAGGUGGUCAGGUAGAGAAUACCAAGGCGCUUGAGAGAACUCGGGUGAAGGAACUAGGCAAAAUGGUGCCGUAACUUCGGGAGAAGGCACGCUGAUGGUAGGUGAAGUGAUUUACUCAUGGAGCUGAAAUCAGUCGAAGAUACCAGCUGGCUGCAAC